UACAGAGGUCCCAAGCGUUGUUCGGAUUCACUGGGCGUAAAGGGUGCGUAGGUGGUGAGAUAAGUCGGAUGUGAAAUCUCCCAGCUCAACUUGGAAACUGCAUUGGAAACUAUCUUGCUAGAGGGUUUGAGGGGGGACUGGAAUACUUGGUGUAGCAGUGAAAUGCGUAGAUAUCAAGUGGAACGCCAGUGGCGGAAGGCGGCAUCCUGGACCAAUAUUGACGCUGAGGAGCGAAAGCCAGGGGAGCAAACGGG
rnacentral:rRNA from 1 species